rnacentral:rRNA from 1 species
GUGGGACCUUCGGGCCACAUGCUAUCGGAUGCGCCUACGUGGGAUUAGCUAGUUGGUGAGGUAAUGGCUCACCAAGGCGACGAUCCCUAGCUGGUUUGAGAGGAUGAUCAGCCACACUGGAACUGAGACACGGUCCAGACUCCUACGGGAGGCAGCAGUGGGGAAUAUUGGACAAUGGGCGCAAGCCUGAUCCAGCCAUGCCGCGUGUGUGAAGAAGGCCUUCGGGUUGUAAAGCACUUUCAGUUGUGAGGAAAGUUGUGUAGUUAAUACCUGCACGAUGUGACGUUAGCAACAGAAGAAGCACCGGCUAACUCAGUGCCAGCAGCCGCGGUAAUACUGAGGGUGCGAGCGUUAAUCGGAAUUACUGGGCGUAAAGCGCGCGUAGGUGGUUUUAUAAGCCAGAUGUGAAAGCCCCGGGCUUAACCUGGGAACUGCAUUUGGAACUGUGAAACUAGAGUCUUGUAGAGGGUGGUAGAAUUUCAGGUGUAGCGGUGAAAUGCGUAGAUAUCUGAAGNNGAAUACCGGUGGCGAAGGCGGCCACCUGGACAAUGACUGACACUGAGGUGCGAAAGCGUGGGUAGCGAACGGGAUUAGAUACCCCGGUAGUCCACGCCGUAAACGAUGUCUACUAGCUGUUUGUGAUCUUGUAUCGUGAGUAGCGCAGCUAACGCACUAAGUAGACCGCCUGGGGAGUACGGNUCGNCNAAGAUAAAAACUCAAAUNGAAUUGACGGGGGCCCGCACAAGCGGUGGAGCAUGUGGUUUAAUUCGACGCAACGCGAAGAACCUUACCUACUCUUGACAUCCAGAGAAGACUGCAGAGAUGCGGUUGUGCCUUCGGGAACUCUGAGACAGGUGCUGCAUGGCUGUCGUCAGCUCGUGUUGUGAAAUGUUGGGUUAAGUCCUGCAACGAGCGCAACCCUUAUCCUUAAUUGCCAGCACGUAAUGGUGGGAACUCUAGGGAGACUGCCGGUGAUAAACCGGAGGAAGGUGGGGGCGGGCGUCAAGUCAUCAUGGCCCUUACGAGUAGGGCUACACACGUGCUACAAUGGUAUGUACAGAGGGAGGCAAGCUGGCGACAGUGAGCGGAUCUCUUAAAGCAUAUCGUAGUCCGGAUCGCAGUCUGCAACUCGACUGCGUGAAGUCGGAAUCGCUAGUAAUCGCAAAUCAGAAUGUUGCGGGUGAAUACGUUCCCGGGCCUUGUACACACCGCCCGUCACACCAUGGGAGUGG